UACGUAGGGGGCAAGCGUUGUCCGGAAUCAUUGGGCGUAAAGCGCGCGUAGGCGGCCCUGUUAGUCCGCUGUAAAAGUCAAAGGCUCAACCUUUGAAUGCCGGUGGAUACUGCAGGGCUAGAGUCCGGAAGAGGCGAGUGGAACUCCUGGUGUAGCGGUGGAAUGCGCAGAUAUCAGGAAGAACACCAACGGCGAAGGCAGCUCGCUGGGACGGUAGCUGACGCUGAGACGCGAAAGCGUGGGGAGCGAACAGG
rnacentral:rRNA from 1 species